rnacentral:lncRNA from 1 species
AUCAAAAAGUCAACUAUUGGUCAAACUUGAUUUUUAAAUGAAAUAGGUCAAAAAAUGCCAUUUUGAUUGGCAAGGUUUUGGUUCAUGAAAUUUAUAUUUUUGGAAAGAGGAGGAAAAAUGUGGUUUGUAGGAAAAAACCCCACCAAAUUUGGCCUUAUGGUUCAUGAGAUAUGGCUCUUUGAAGUUCACAAAUUUUUGAAAUUGAAUUGAUCAUAUCUUGACA